AAGGUAUACUAAGUUAAUAAAUGGGCUCAGAAUAGAAUUGGCUAAUUUGCAAGCAGAAAUGAAAUGGUUAGAGAGAGUCUAAUACAGCAUCUUUCAGUGUUGGUACAACAAUUGCUUCAUGAUCCUAAUAAAUGAUAAGAGUGCAAAAGUCUUUACAGAUAAAUGUCUUCUAAUAUAUUUCCAACUGAUUAAAUUGCCUCAAAGCAAAGAAUAGGUUAAGAAUGUAGCACUCAAUAAUUUGGUAAAAUGAUUAACAAUGUGGCUUUGCCUGGAAAUUCAAACAGCUUCUUUGUAACCCUGUUCUAUACAGAGAAUGAAUAAUGCAAUGAAAGAGUAGAGAGGUACAAAAUAGAAAAGUGUGGGGUAUAUACUGGGUACACGGAGAAGAUUGGAAGGAAAGUUUACUGUUUUUUUGUGUUUUGGAGUGUUGGUGAGUUCUUCUGGUAAAGAAACUAGGAGUUGGGACCAAAAAAUGUUUAUAGGCUUUAAAUGACUCUAAAUUCCCCAACUUUUGUCUUUUUUUUUUUUUUUUUUUUUUUUUUGCCAUUUCUUGGGCCGCUCCUGCGGCAUAUGGAGAUUCCCAGGCUAGGGGUCGAAUCGGAGCCGUAGCCACCGGCCUGUGCCAGAGCCAGAGCAACGCAGGAUCCGAGCCGCGUCUGUGACCUACACCACAGCUCAACGCAAUGCCGGAUCCUUAACCCACUGAGCAAGGGCAGGGAUCGAACCCGCAACCUCAUGGUUCCUAGUCGGAUUCGUUAACCACUGCACCAUGACGGGAACUCCUAAAUUCCCCAACUUUAAUGAGCAAAAAGAUGGCUCAGAAAACUCCUCAGAUUGCAAGUAAAGGAUAUUCCCCAAACCCACAUCCAUUGGGAACAAGAAUAAUGGGAAAUAAAAUCAUCCUUAAAGAUGAAGCCAUGAGGCAUAGAGAACAAUGGGCUUUCUGGAGGAAAGAAUGUAGACCCAAUGGAGAAACAUUCUCCAAUACCAAUUUAGGACCUUCCACAGUGCCUGCUCACAGACACCAAAAUAUCUAUGUACCAGUGACUAAUGUGUGUCUCUCAGUCUCCCUUCUAACUCAUAUCUGUUCUGUUCUGUUCCACUAUUAUUACCAGUAUUUUUUAUUAUCACUUAUUAUUGAGUGUACAUGUAUGUGUAUGGUGAGCCUCCCUUAACUUGUCUUUUUAGUUUAUAUGUUUCAAAUGAAAGAGCUGACAUCCGAACCUGGUAUAGAAACUCACAUAUCAGCCAGAAGUCUGAGUGAUCCACAAGCAGAGACAGAAUUGAAACUUUGAGUUGUCUCCUUUGGAGAGUAGUUGAGUGAGUGUGUUUCUUUGUUCACUAAUGGGAACAAAGGAUACUGUGUGACAGAAACAGUCCUCAGAUAACAAUCCCCAUAUAUUCCAUUAGUCCUCUGUAUUCCCUAGCUCCAGAGGCUAGGUGGAGCCAAGAACUAUGAAAACUGAUACAGUCAAUGAAAGGUGAAUAGAAGUGAUACAUAAAACUUUCAGUCUAAGAAAGUUUGGCUCAUAUUUGAUUUUCCAAUCUCUCUCUGUCUCUAUCUUGGCAACAACAAAUAUUUUGUUGAGAUAAUGGUCAUAUGAUGGAAGCAGCUUGGAUCUCUGAGUUGCUGUACAGAGAAAAAUGGCUGGAGAUGUUAGAUGUUAUGGGAUCCACAGUGCAUGUAUGGGAGUGAUAAAUGGACUUUUGUUGUAUUAGGCCUCUGAGUGUUUUUUGUUUGUUUGUUUUUAAACUUCUACAUAUACUCACCUUUCUUGUGUUAAUACCAUUACCAUAUUUCAUGUAAAUUAUGGAGAGACAUACUACUUUCUGGUUUCAGAGUAAAAUAGUAUUUUAUUAAUAUUUCAAUAGAUUUACGUUUGUUCAUUUUCAUUGUUAUAUAAUUAUGAAAUUGAUCUUUUUUCUCUAUUAAGUCCUAAUGCUGGAAUUAUUUUCUAUGAGGAGUGUUGUAUAAUACAUAGACCUAAAAUAAAAUGUACCACAUAAUAACAAAUCCAAACUAGUGUAAAACCUGCAGAUGGUAAUUAUUUUUAAUUUCCCAAUGUCACAGAAAGAUGAUCUCUGCCCUAACGUCUUAGCAAAAAUAAAUGGAACAAGGAACCAAUGAGUUAUUUAAAGGACUCAUUAACUUUCACAUGACCCUAUUUGUAAUUGAGACAGUUAUGUCCUAGAAGUACCCUCCAAGAAAUGAUUAAUGAGGUUUCCAAACAUUCUAAAUUGACUGACAUGGAAAGGAGUGAUCUUAUCCUUUAGCUAAAUCUCCAUGAGGUUCAGGAAAAGAAGACUUACCUUGAAUAAUUCAUAAUAUUGUCUCAUAUUAAGGAUUUAAAAAUGUAUUUAUUUUUCUUAAAGUUUAAAGAGCUCAAUAAACUGUUCAAAGUUAAAGCAAAUUUAGAGAUAGGUAUAUUUUAACCUCACUCAUAUUAGUAGCACUCAAAAUUGUUCUACAGACUAGUUAGAAUCUUACCUACAUCAUAGAUAAUGACAAUUAAUAGGCUUGAUCACAGUAUAUGGCUCAUUUGAAUUAAUUAUAAUUAGAUUGCUACUAAUAUUAAACAAUAGGACCUAAAGACCAGAAUAUUCUGUAUCAAUGAUUAAAUUUUCCUUUUCCCUAAUGUAAAUUUGCUAUAGCUAUAAGUUUGAAAUAAAAUAUUAUCAGUAAAUUUAAGAAAGUGUUGAGUAGUGUAUUAUUGCAAAUGAAAUAAGAAUUUUUCCCCCAAUUAACUGAAUUUUGGAAUUUCUUUGUGGUUAAAGUUGAGUUAACAAUUCUCAUAUUUUAUAUGUAUAACUAAUAUCCUCUUUUAGAAUUUUCCAUCUAGUAAAGUAUAAAAAUUAGUUAUAUAGUGGGAACAUUCAAUUAUAUUUUGUCUCAUUUAUUUAAUAUUCUCUAACAGAGAAGUACAUUGGUAUAAUAUACUUCUAGUGCUCUUAUAUUCAGUUUCUUAAACAUGUUAUAAAUAUAACGAAUUUUUUCAAUUCAUUGUUCAAAUUAAUAACUUUCCAUGUAGAACAAGGAUUUUAACUAUUAUUAUUCAUGUAUUCUUAGACUAAAAGUUUAGCUGAAGAGAAAAUGACUUCAUUUUUCCCUUAUAUUUUACUGUAAUCAAGAAUGCAUUUUCUUAUAAAAGAGUUAACUUUUAUGGUGUAAGAUAUUUGUCCACAGUCAAACUCACUGCAACUAACUAUAAUAGCAAAGAAUAUUUAAAAUGGUAAAAUUAUUAUUCAUCUCUCUGAGAUUUUUCUUUAGACUGUUUCCAUUAUAUACACACACACGCACGCACAUAUCCAAACCAGAAUAUAGAGUUUAUAGCUUAAUUAAAGAUAGCACAUUUUAAUUUUGAAAAGAGAAAUGCUACC
rnacentral:lncRNA from 1 species